GUGCUUGCUUCGGCAGCACAGAUACUAAAAUUGGAAGAAUGCAUAGAAAAUUAGCAUGGCCCCUGCACAAGGAUAAUAUGCAUACUGGUGAAGACUUUAACAAAGUU